GUUAUUUAGAAGUAUAUAGUGGAAAGUACUGGCUUGUGCCUUUUAGUGACAGGAAGGAAAACAGUAUAGUAAGGCAUUUAACGCAGGGUAAUGAUCCAAUAAGUUGAAGGAAAUCCUGCCCAAAGGAGGAAUAAUGAAGUGGAUGGCAUGAAGAUGAAGGCCAGGGGGUGCUGGAGUCCAGGAUCUCUUUAAAGCAGUUCAUGUGCUCUGAGAUUUUUCCUCCACUUGUACAAAGAGGAUAUCUACGACUUUCUUAAUUCAGGAAAGCAAAGAAACAUGCCUCACUCCUCCCACUGGCUGGAAACAAACGUAGAAUGCCAUAUCUCUUCAGAAUGCUCUCAAUAGGCUAAGCUCAUGAAAGUCAUUUUACUGUUUCUUCAGAGUGCUCUCAACAACUGAGUCAUCAGUGAGGAAAAGGAUGGAGGGAAUAGAGGAAAGAAAACUGCAAAAAUAUGACAGAACUGAUCAUAAAAGAGGUGGUUUUUGAAAUAGAUUUGAAAGAUAAUCAUUGUCAUUAUAUACGCUGAAGGACAGAAGCUGAGUUCAUGAAAAAAUGUAUGAAGCCAUGAGUAAAUAGCAGUGUUAAAGCAAGAGGUAUGGAUGAGAGCUAGGAUUUGAGAAGAAUCAUACUCUGGAAAGUCAGAAGGCAUAAUCUGUGGAAUGUAAUCUCUUGUUUCCAAAUACUCAGUCACACCUUGCUCCUCCUAGCCUUAUCUCCUGGUCAGUUAGCUCUAGCAGGGACAUAAGUCACUGGAAAACAUGUAGAAGAGGUUCAUGUAGGAGUCUCAGUGAUUAAGAUUAUUUUCAGAGCAGCAUGUUGUAUUGCCUGGUAUAGAGCAAGACAAAAGCAAAUGCUAAAAUGACACUAGUUAAAAUAAAGACAGUAAGAGUUCAGAAGGCUCUUAUUGU
rnacentral:lncRNA from 1 species